rnacentral:rRNA from 1 species
CAGUCGCCGCGGGAAUACGUAGGGUGCGAGCGUCAAUCGGAAUUACUGGGCGUAAAGCGUGCGUAGGCGGUGAGUUAAGUCUGCUGUGAAAUCCCCGGGCUCAACCUGGGAAUGGCAAUGGAUACUGGCAAGCUAGAGUGUGUCAGAGGAUGGUGGAAUUCCCGGUGUAGCGGUGAAAUGCGUAGAGAUCGGGAGGAACAUCAGUGGCGAAGGCGGCCAUCUGGGACAACACUGACGCUAAGGCACGAAAGCGUGGGGAGCAAACAGGAUUAGAUACCCGGGUAGUCCCUGUCUCUUAUAC